rnacentral:lncRNA from 1 species
CUUGUCUCAUGCUGCUCAUCAUGUCCACCAGCAUCAUGGUCUUGCUUCUUCAGCUCCUACAACUACUGGGUCUGCUCCUUCAACUUCUUCUUCUUCUUUAUCUCCUCCUUCUUCUACUUCCACCUCCACGUCUUCUGCUGCAGCUCCUCCUCAACUUGUCGACGCUUCUCUUGCUAUCGCCACCAGAUCUGGACCUGUUUUAGACUCAACAAAGAAAAAUCAGCAGCAGAAUCUUUCCGUAGUUACCACCACAUCUACAGCCACCACCACUGCUUUGACUGCAACACCAGCGAAGAGGUCCACGAAGGACCGACACACAAAGGUUGAUGGGAGAGGGAGGAGAAUCAGAAUGCCAGCAACUUGUGCAGCUAGGGUUUUUCAAUUGACA